UGACAAUUGAGUUUAAGUCUUGUAGCAUUUUUAUUGGAAACAUAGGCACACACGGAAAUUUAAACACUUGGGACCUUUUCUACUAGUAAUGUAUGUCUGCCCGGACAUAUUUUACCAGGACAAAGUUAUCUCUUACAGAAAACCUUUAGGUAGAGGUAAGCGUACAAGGUACGUAGUACAGAAUAUUAGUGCAAGUUAAAACUCUUCAAAGUUCCAGGCAUAUAUAAACGUUGAAAAUAUGCGGCACAGCUCUAUAUUUUGAUAUUUGAAAACAAAAUAGUAGUGCAUAUGAAUUAACUUCACAUUCUACCUGAUAUUUUUUUUCAAAACGUAGUCCCAGAAACUUAUUUGCAAAAGCAAAACAGACAAAAAUGACAUUAUGCAGAUUUUGUAUCUAUAAAAUAAAAUAUUAUACCUACCUGCCUGCCCAUGAAGAAAAAUAUACCGAGCCAA
rnacentral:lncRNA from 1 species